AUUGAACGCUGGCGGCAGGCCUAACACAUGCAAGUCGAACGAGUGGCGGACGGGUGAGUAAUGUCUGGGAAACUGCCUGAUGGAGGGGGAUAACUACUGGAAACGGUAGCUAAUACCGCAUACCAUCGGAUGUGCCCAGAUGGGAUUAGCUAGUAGGUGGGGUAAAGGCUCAACUAGGCGACGAUCCCUAGCUGGUCUGAGAGGAUGACCAGCGACACUGGAGCUGAGACAGGGUCCAGACUCCUACGGUAGGCAGCAGUGGGGAAUAUUGCACAAUGAGCGCAAUCCUGAUGCAGCCAGACCGCGUGUAUGAAGAAGGCCUUCGGGUUGUAAAGUACUGUCAGCGAGGAGGCGUUACCCGCAGAAGAGGCACCAGCUAACUCCGUGCCAGCAGCCGCGGUAAUAC
rnacentral:rRNA from 1 species